rnacentral:rRNA from 1 species
UACGAAGGGGGCUAGCGUUGUUCGGAAUUACUGGGCGUAAAGCGCACGUAGGCGGAUAUUUAAGUCAGGGGUGAAAUCCCAGAGCUCAACUCUGGAACUGCCUUUGAUACUGGGUAUCUUGAGUAUGGAAGAGGUAAGUGGAAUUGCGAGUGUAGAGGUGAAAUUCGUAGAUAUUCGCAGGAACACCAGUGGCGAAGGCGGCUUACUGGUCCAUUACUGACGCUGG